CCUACGGGUGGCAGCAGUAGGGGAUAUUGCUCAAUGGGGGGAACCCUGAAGCAGCGACGCCGCGUGGAGGAUGAAGGGUCUCGGAGUGUAAAGCCCUUUUUGUAGGGAAGAAAAUGACGGUAUCUAAAGAAGAAGCACCGUCUAACUACGUGCCAGCAGCCGCGGUAAUACGGAGGGGGCAAGCGUUAUCCGGAGUUACUGGGCGUAAAGGGCGCGUAGGCGGGUUUGCAAGUCAGAUGUGAAAGCCUAGGGCUUAACCCUAGAACUGCAUUUGAAACUGUGAUGCUGGAGUACGGGAGAGGUAGGUGGAAUUCGUGGUGUAGGGGUGAAAUGCGUAGAUAUCAAGAGGAAUACUGAUUGCGAAGGCGGCCUGCUGGAAUGCAACUGACGCUGAUGCGCGAAAGCGUGGGGAGCAAACAGGAUUAGAUACCCGAGUAGUC
rnacentral:rRNA from 1 species